CCCCACUAAUGUUAAUAUUUUUUGUAUUUUUAAUAGAGAUGGAGGCUCAUCAUGUUGCCCAGGCUGCUCUCUAAGUCCUGAGCUGAGGCAAUCUGCCCACCUUGGCCUCCCCAAGUGCUAGGAUUACAACUCCUGACCUCAAGCAGUCAUCCCACCUUGGCCUCCCAAAGUGCUGGGAUUACAGACAUGAACCACUGGUACCACCUCCAUUUCUCAGUCCCUAGUCAGUGUGAGCCACCGCACCUGGAGAGGCCCAUCUUUUCUAGGCGGCCCUUGGAAACUGUCUUAGUGUUGGUAAAAAAGGUUUGC
rnacentral:lncRNA from 1 species